rnacentral:rRNA from 1 species
AUUGAACGCUGGCGGCAUGCCUUACACAUGCAAGUCGAACGGUAACAGGUCUUCGGACGCUGACGAGUGGCGAACGGGUGAGUAAUACAUCGGAACGUGCACGAUCGUGGGGGAUAACGAAGCGAAAGCUUAGCUAAUACCGCAUACGAUCUACGGAUGAAAGCAAGGGACCGCAAGGCCUUGCACGAACGGAGAGGCCGAUGGCAGAUUAGGUAGUUGGUGGGAUAAAAGCUUACCAAGUCGACGAUCUGUAGCUGGUCUGAGAGGACGACCAGCCACACUGGGACUGAGACACGGCCCAGACUCCUACGGGAGGCAGCAGUGGGGAAUUUUGGACAAUGGGCGAAAGCCUGAUCCAGCCAUGCCGCGUGCAGGAUGAAGGCCUUCGGGUUGUAAACUGCUUUUGUACGGAACGAAAAGACUCUGGUUAAUACCUGGGGUCCAUGACGGUACCGUAAGAAUAAGCACCGGCUAACUACGUGCCAGCCGCCGCAGUAAUAC